rnacentral:tRNA from 1 species
GAUAAAAUGGCUGAGAUUGAUAGGCAUUAGGUUGUAAAUCUGAAGACAAGUGUUACUUUUUUAUCA